GACGAACGCUGGCGGCGUGCUUAACACAUGCAAGUCGAACGGAAAGGCCCUGCUUUUGUGGGGUGCUCGAGUGGCGAACGGGUGAGUAACACGUGAGUAACCUGCCCUUGACUUUGGGAUAACUUCAGGAAACUGGGGCUAAUACCGGAUAGGAGCUCCUGCUGCAUGGUGGGGGUUGGAAAGUUUCGGCGGUUGGGGAUGGACUCGCGGCUUAUCAGCUUGUUGGUGGGGUAGUGGCUUACCAAGGCUUUGACGGGUAGCCGGCCUGAGAGGGUGACCGGCCACAUUAGGACUGAGAUACGGCCCAGACUCCUACGGGAGGCAGCAGUGGGGAAUAUUGCACAAUGGGCGGAAGCCUGAUGCAGCAACGCCGCGUGCGGGAUGACGGCCUUCGGGUUGUAAACCGCUUUCGCCUGUGACGAAGCGUGAGUGACGGUAAUGAAUAAAGAAGCACCGGCUAACUACGUG
rnacentral:rRNA from 1 species